rnacentral:ribozyme from 1 species
GCACGGAUCUACCAAAAGAAUUUUACCAAACAGAGGAAGCAAUGGACAUUCAUGAAGAAUACUGGCCAAACGACAGGUAACCAUAUUUUUGCAUUUUUCUCCGAAUUUUCUAACAAAAAUGUUGUCUUUUUGUAAAAACAAAGAGGAAUGAGCAUGUUUACUGCCAUCCUGCGUCCAAAAGACAAGAAAACUCC